rnacentral:lncRNA from 1 species
GUCAAAAGUAACCAUCACCUUGAACGCGCACCCAGGAGUCUCCCCGAGUCUAAGUGCACCAGUCUGGGGACGUCCUGGUCCCAUUGUACAGAAGGCUCCAUCCCUGUGAUGAGGUCAGCUGACUCCAGUCACAUGCUGCCUCUCUAACCCGCUCCACUUAAUGAAUGUAGUUCCUCCUGCCUGCUUUGUAAAAAUCCAGUUUUAUUCUUUGCAGAAAAUACAAACGGCAUGGCCUUUUCAGGCUGGUAGCUUCCUCUCAAACCCUGCUCUUUCCUGGGCUCGGCUGCAGGAAGGACAGUGGCUCUACCACACACAUGUUCGGACAAGCCCACUGAGUACAAAACUCCAGGCAUCUGGACUUGGCAAGGCCGCUGACACUGAAGAGAAUGUAACAUGCAAGACCAAGGCUGCCCCCAGCCCCACCCCUGCAUCUCCGGGGCCUCAUGUUCCUCACCUGUAAAUGAAGGGGGUGUAAGGAGGAAAACUGGACAACGAUCCCUGAGGCCCCGUCCAGCACAACAUUCUGACUGUAAGCAGAGAAGAUGCAAAUACAGUUUAAUCAAAUCUUGCUGGUCAUAACCACUUGCCCACGGUAGCUUUAAACUGAUUUUGCCAAUUUUACUACUUUUAUCACUUGACAGUAUAACAAAGAUAGGAACAUUGGAUUAAUACAACACUUUUUAGAAGUUUCAGAGGCUAGCAAAUUUUCAGCUUGGCUAAUUUGUAUGGCAACACUAUCCCAAAUGAAGGCAUGCAGACGAGAGGCUGGAAACACAGCAAACCCAGCGCCCUCAUCAAAUGUUCGCACUGUGCCAGAUCCUGGCUAAGUAUUUAUAGUGUUUUAUAUCAUGCCCUACAAUCCCAUGACAUAGAUCUGAUUACUCCCUAAAUUUUACUUGUGUAAAAAAGAUCUGUUAGAAAAACAAGAUUUGUGGUGUGAAGAGCAAAAGUUGUUUUCCACUGCGGUGUGUGCCUAAGGGCAAGCCACCCAGCUGCUCUGUCUCAAUGCCUCCACCUAUGCAACAGGAAAAUAGCCCCUGUCUCGUUCACUCACUCAACAACCAGUGACUGAGCACUCCCAGAUGUGCCAGGCACUGUGGGAGGUGCUUGGGAUCUUGGUGAACAAAACGGAUUAAAAGGACAAAAAGCCAUCAUGGCGUUGCUUAUACCUCGAACAAGGAAAGCAGAUAAUUCGUGCUGAGAACGCAGGGGGUGCUUGAUCAACCUUAGCGCCCUCUCUUCCCCCUUCAGAAAUGGAAAAAGCAUUAGAAAACAAAUCCAACAGAAGCCAGUUAAGUCAGACCCGAAACAGAAAUUUUUACCUAAUAAACAAAUACCAAAGAGCAAAGAUUAAGAGCAUUUGUGCUGGUGUCCUCUGGCCUAGGCUCAAAUUCUGACUCUGUCACUUCUUGCUGGAGUGACCCCAGGCAAGUUAUUUAAACUCCACUAAGCGUCAACUUCC